GGCGAGUGAAGAGGGAAGAGCCCAAGAUUGAAAGCUGGCGUCUUCGGCGUCCGCAUUGUAAUCUCAAGAAGUGUUUUCCGCUUCGGACCAAGCCUAAGUCCCCUGGAAAGGGGCAUCAUAGAGGGUGAUAAUCCCGUACAUGGCUUGGAGCGCCCGAGGCUUUGUGAUACGCUUUCUAAGAGUCGAGUUGUUUGGGAAUGCAGCUCAAAAUGGGUGGUAAAUGCGAUCUAAGGCUAAAUAUUGGGGAGAGACCGAUAGCGAACAAGUACAGUGAUGGAAAGAUGAAAAGAACUUUGAAAAGAGAGUUAAACAGUACGUGAAAUUGCCAAAAGGGAAGGGUAGGAGGUCAGAGAUGCGGCCUGGGAUUCAGCCUUGCUUUUGCUUGGUGUUUUUCCCAGAUUGCAGGCCAACGUCGGUUUUGGGCACUGGAGAAGGGUAGGAGGAACGUGGCACCCCUCGGGGUGUGUUAUAGCCUCCUACUGGAUACAGCGACCGAGACCGAGGACAGCAGCGUACUCGCAAGAGCGGGCCUUCGGGCACCUUUACGCUUAGGGCGUUGGCAUAAUGGCCCUCUACCACCCGUCUUGAACCACGAGAC
rnacentral:rRNA from 1 species